rnacentral:rRNA from 1 species
GUGUCAGCCGCCGCGGUAAUACGUAGGGUGCGAGCGUUAAUCGGAUUUACUGGGCGUAAAGCAUGCGCAGGCGGCGGUUCAAGUCAGGUGUGAAAUCCCCGAGCUUAACUUGGGAAUUGCGCUUGAAACUAGAUCGCUAGAGUACGGCAGAGGGGGGUAGAAUUCCACGUGUAGCAGUGAAAUGCGUAGAGAUGUGGAGGAACACCGAUGGCGAAGGCAGCCCCCUGGGCCUGUACUGACGCUCAUGCAUGAAAGCGUGGGGAGCAAACAGGAUUAGAUACCCCCGUAGUCC